UGUUACAUGAAAUUAAUUAGGCUGCAGAUUACUUUCUUUAACGUCAGAUCAAAUCUAUUACGCCUUGUAGGUGAAAAACGUGCACAGGAGCCGAACUGCCACUGACCGGAGUCUUCAACAGCGUUAUCUCUGUAGUGAAAUACGUCGAAAGUACACACAAACAUGAUCGGAUACUAGACGAGUUUUUUGAUACCUGGGCCGUGCAUUUACUGUAAAGAGAAAGAGUAAUUAUGUUUUGAUUUCGACAAAAAUUAUUUACACAAGUGAUAGGGUAUGUCUAAAGAAAGUGCUCAAGAUAACCUUCGUCCCGCCUGAGAGAAAUAAAACCAUUGAGAUAGAUCAAUUCUCUGCAAAGAAUGGGCAGAUAACGCAUCGUUUAAAUAAUUGGCUAUACACCCACAGAUCUCAGCGAGAAAGCAAAUUACAUCAACCGAUUGUAAAUCGAAUGCGGCUUACAUCCAUGGACAGG
rnacentral:misc_RNA from 1 species